rnacentral:rRNA from 1 species
GCUAGGAUGAACGCUAGCGGCAGGCUUAACACAUGCAAGUCGAGGGGCAUCGCGGGUAGCAAUACCUGGCGGCGACCGGCGAAAGGGUGAGUAACGCGUGAGCAACGUGCCCGUAUGUGGGGGAUAGUCGAUGGAAACGUCGCGUAAUACCCCUUAACACGAGGGUCCGCAUGGUCCUUCGUUAAAAGAUUCAUCGCAUACGGAUCGGCUCGCGUGCCAUUAGGUAGACGGCGGGGUAACGGCCCACCGUGCCGACGAUGGCUAGGGGUUCUGAGAGGAAGGUCCCCCACAUUGGAACUGAGACACGGUCCAGACCCCUACGGGAGGCAGCAGUGAGGAAUAUUGGACAAUGGCCGGAAGGCUGAUCCAGCCAUGCCGCGUGCGGGAAGGACGGCCCUAUGGGUUGUAAACCGCUUUUGCGGGGGAGCAAUAAGAGUCACGUGUGGCUCGAUGAGAGUACCCUGCGAAUAAGCAUCGGCUAACUCCGUGCCAGCAGCCGC